rnacentral:tRNA from 1 species
GGGGUUGUGGCUCAGCAGUAGAGCACUCGCCUAGCAUGUGUGAGGCCCUGGGUUCAAUCCUCAGCACCACA